rnacentral:rRNA from 1 species
GACGAACCGUGCGAACGUUAUUCGGAAUCACUGGGCUUAAAGCGCGUGUAGGCGGGUCGGUGCGUCGGCCGCUGAAAUCCCCCGGCUCAACCGGGGAAGGGGCGCCGAUACGACCGGCCUGGAGCGACGUAGGGGGAACUGGAACUUCCGGUGGAGCGGUGAAAUGCGUUGAGAUCGGAAGGAACGCCCGUGGCGAAAGCGAGUUCCUGGACGUCGGCCUGACGCUGAGACGCGAAAGCCAGGGAGCGAACGGG